UUGUCGUUCCGUAUCAAUGUUUCAUACAAAUUUUUUACUUCCAUCGCAACGCACGAGCACAUAUCUAUACUAUAUAUUGUUAACAAGGGCCAAGCAUUGCUUAUGGAUUGUGGGGAAUGGAACCACUCUGUUCAACAAUCUGACUGUUGACUUGAUGGAUCAGAUUAUGGAUUUUCCUGUUGACCCAAUCAUGGCAGCUAAGGCCUAUAAGUAUAAAGCAGAAAUACUUCUUAAGGAAUACUUGCUAGCAGAUUCAUAUGUUCUAUACACUUCUGUGCUCGCGGGGCUUCUGAUGUGCAAGUUGGUACUGUUAUUUUUACUGAUUGUUUUUUAUGGCUUGGUUGCUUAUGUUUGUGCUCUGGUAUAUGCAGCCAAGAUCAAGAUUGGGAUCAAUGGGUUCGGUAGGAUCGGAAGGCUGGUGGCCAGGGUGGCCCUACAGAGUGACGAUGUCGAGCUCGUCGUCGUGAACGACCGCUUCAUCAGCACCGACUACAUGCUGGGCUGAUGAGGUGUGAAAUAUGUGUGGUGGUUUCGGCGUGGGAGGACCG